UACGUAGGGGGCUAGCGUUGUCCGGAAUCACUGGGCGUAAAGCGCACGUAGGCGGAUUGUUAAGUCAGGGGUGAAAUCCUGGAGCUCAACUCCAGAACUGCCUUUGAUACUGGCGAUCUUGAGUCCGGGAGAGGUGAGUGGAACUGCGAGUGUAGAGGUGAAAAUUCGUAGAUAUUCGCAAGAACACCGGUGGCGAAGGCGGCUCUCUGGACCGAGACUGACGCUGAGGC
rnacentral:rRNA from 1 species